rnacentral:rRNA from 1 species
AAUGAACGCUGGCGGCGCGCCUAAUACAUGCAAGUCGAGCGAGAAGACGUAGCAAUACGUUUGUAAAGCGGCGAACGGGUGAGGAAUACAUGGGUAACCUACCCUAGAGUGGGGAAUAACUAGCCGAAAGGUUAGCUAAUACCACGUACGCUCCUUGGACUUCGGUUCAGGGAGGAAAGCGAUGCCGAGGGUAUCGCGCUCUUGGAUGGGCUCAUGUCCUAUCAGCUUGNGGUGAGGUAACGGCUCACCAAGGCUUCGACGGGUAGCUGGUCUGAGAGGACGAUCAGCCACACUGGCACUGCGACACGGGCCAGACUCCUACGGGAGGCAGCAGUAAGGAAUAUUGCGCAAUGGGCGAAAGCCUGACGCAGCGACGCCGCGUGGGGGAU